GAUGAACGCUGGCGGCGUGCCUAAUACAUGCAAGUCGAGCGAACGGACGAGAAGCUUGCUUCUCUGAUGUUAGCGGCGGACGGGUGAGUAACACGUGGAUAACCUACCUAUAAGACUGGGAUAACUUCGGGAAACCGGAGCUAAUACCGGAUAAUAUUUUGAACCGCAUGGUUCAAAAGUGAAAGACGGUCUUGCUGUCACUUAUAGAUGGAUCCGCGCUGCAUUAGCUAGUUGGUAAGGUAACGGCUUACCAAGGCAACGAUGCAUAGCCGACCUGAGAGGGUGAUCGGCCACACUGGAACUGAGACACGGUCCAGACUCCUACGGGAGGCAGCAGUAGGGAAUCUUCCGCAAUGGGCGAAAGCCUGACGGAGCAACGCCGCGUGAGUGAUGAAGGUCUUCGGAUCGUAAAACUCUGUUAUUAGGGAAGAACAUAUGUGUAAGUAACUGUGCACAUCUUGACGGUACCUAAUCAGAAAGCCACGGCUAACUACGUGCCAGCAGCCGCGGUAAUACGCAGGUGGCAAGCGUUAUCCGGAAUUAUUGGGCGUAAAGCGCGCGUAGGCGGUUUUUUAAGUCUGAUGUGAAAGCCCACGGCUCAACCGUGGAGGGUCAUUGGAAACUGGAAAACUUGAGUGCAGAAGAGGAAAGUGGAAUUCCAUGUGUAGCGGUGAAAUGCGCAGAGAUAUGGAGGAACACCAGUGGCGAAGGCGACUUUCUGGUCUGUAACUGACGCUGAUGUGCGAAAGCGUGGGGAUCAAACAGGAUUAGAUACCCUGGUAGUCCACGCCGUAAACGAUGAGUGCUAAGUGUUAGGGGGUUUCCGCCCCUUAGUGCUGCAGCUAACGCAUUAAGCACUCCGCCUGGGGAGUACGACCGCAAGGUUGAAACUCAAAGGAAUUGACGGGGACCCGCACAAGCGGUGGAGCAUGUGGUUUAAUUCGAAGCAACGCGAAGAACCUUACCAAAUCUUGACAUCCUUUGACAACUCUAGAGAUAGAGCCUUCCCCUUCGGGGGACAAAGUGACAGGUGGUGCAUGGUUGUCGUCAGCUCGUGUCGUGAGAUGUUGGGUUAAGUCCCGCAACGAGCGCAACCCUUAAGCUUAGUUGCCAUCAUUAAGUUGGGCACUCUAAGUUGACUGCCGGUGACAAACCGGAGGAAGGUGGGGAUGACGUCAAAUCAUCAUGCCCCUUAUGAUUUGGGCUACACACGUGCUACAAUGGACAAUACAAAGGGCAGCGAAACCGCGAGGUCAAGCAAAUCCCAUAAAGUUGUUCUCAGUUCGGAUUGUAGUCUGCAACUCGACUACAUGAAGCUGGAAUCGCUAGUAAUCGUAGAUCAGCAUGCUACGGUGAAUACGUUCCCGGGUCU
rnacentral:rRNA from 1 species